GAUGAACGCUAGCGGCAGGCCUAACACAUGCAAGUCGAGGGAGAAGCCCUUUCGGGGGCAGAAACCGGCGCACGGGUGCGUAACGCGUAUGCAACCUACCUUUCACAGGGGGAUAGCCCGAAGAAAUUUGGAUUAAUACCCCAUAAUAUUAUUGGAUGGCAUCAUUUGAUAAUUAAAACUGCGGUGGUGAAAGAUGGGCAUGCGUCCUAUUAGCUAGUUGGAGUGGUAACGGCACCCCAAGGCUACGAUAGGUAGGGGUCCUGAGAGGGAGAUCCCCCACACUGGUACUGAGACAGGGACCAGACGCCUACGGGAGGCAGCAGUGAGGAAUAGUGGUCAAUGGUCGGAAGACUGAACCAGCCAUGCCGCGUGCAGGAAGAAUGCCUUAUGGGUUGUAAACUGCUUUUAGAUGGGAAGAAUAAGGCGUACGUGUACGUUGAUGACGGUACCAUAUGAAUAAGCAUCGGCUAACUCCGUG
rnacentral:rRNA from 1 species